rnacentral:rRNA from 1 species
GGAUUAGAUACCCUGGUAGUCCACGCCGUAAACGAUGUCUACUUGGAGGUUGUGGCCUUGAGCCGUGGCUUUCGGAGCUAACGCGUUAAGUAGACCGCCUGGGGAGUACGGUCGCAAGAUUAAAACUCAAAUGAAUUGACGGGGGCCCGCACAAGCGGUGGAGCAUGUGGUUUAAUUCGAAGCAACGCGCAGAACCUUACCAGCCCUUGACAUACCAAUCGCGGUUACCGGAGACGGUUUCCUUCAGUUCGGCUGGAUUGGAUACAGGUGCUGCAUGGCUGUCGUCAGCUCGUGCUG